CAUUCCUUUAGUGGGAGAGUUAAACACGAUGCUUCCUGUGAGUGGCCAUUUUGGGGUGGAGGAUAUAUUCUUUCAAUGCUCCCACCCCUCUCCUAUGCCCGCCAUGGAAGGAAGAGCCUGCUUGGAUGGGCCUUAGGCUCAGGUUCUCAGAAAGGUCUGCCUGAUUGGGAAGUUAGCCCACACAAUCCCGAACUAGGAGCACUUACCAAUGUGUGGCUGAUGGGAGCCACGAGGACGACUUGUGUAGUUAUUAUACAUCACUCACGGCAAAUGAGGUAAUGCAUUUGAAAGGCAGUAUAAUCAUAAAGUACUAUACAAAUGUUAUGGUCAUUAUUAUGCCGUAUUUAUUGCCUUUUUCCUCGGGGUAAGACUGCACACAUCAUACACUGGGCAAAUAUUCAGAAUCAGCCGUCCUCAGCGGAGCAUGCUGACUGUUGCAAGGAGCCAGCUUCUCCAGCAAGCAAAGAUGCAUCCCUGGUGCCCAGUAGCUUCCUGAAUAGAGGGCUGAGCCUCAUGGAAAGCACAUUUGUCUCUGUCUUUCUCAUCUUCUAUUUCCCCUUCUGUCUCCUUUUCAGCUGUAAGGGAGAGGGGCUAAUGAAUUUGACCUAUAGUUCAGAAUAACAAGUCACCCUCCCACACACCAGAUGCCUACAAUAGCCAGGACUGGGCCAGGCUGAGACCAGGAGCCAGAAUUCCAUCCAGGUCCCCAUGUGCUGGCAGGGACCCAAGUGCUUGGCUAUUAUCUGCUGCCUUCCAAGAUGCAUCAGUGUGCAGCUAGAUUAGAAGUGGAGGAGCCAGCAUUCAUGUUGGCUCUCUGAUAUGGGAUUCAGGUAUCCUAAGUGGUGGCUUAGACCAGCUUUAGGGCUCUAUGUCAUCAAAGUCUAUGACAGUUUAUGAUGAAAUAGCAUUUUUGAAGUUUAAAAUUUCAAGAUGUAGCCAGCUCUUAAAUAUCAUUAAGAAAAACAGAAACAUCUUCACGGAUAUAUAGUUGAAUUAAUCGGUGUGGUGUUGUAUAUACCAAGAAAUGUAAACAUACAGAUAUGGGAAAUUAUCCAGGACUCACUGAUAAUUUUUUUAAAAAUCAACUGCAGUAUUAGAGGUGUAGUGGGAUUCCAUUAAUAUAUUUCACAAAUAUAUGCCUACCAGGCCGGCACUAUGGCACAGCAGAUUAAAGCCCUGGCUUGAAGUGCCAGCAUCCCAUAUGGACACCAGUUCUAAUCCCGGCUGCUCCUCUUCUGAUCUAGCUCUCUGCUAUAGCCUGGGAUAGCAGUAUAAAAUGACCCAAGUCUUUGGGCCCUUUCAUCCAUGUGAGAGACCUGGAGGAGGCUCCUGGCUCCUGGCUUCAGAUCAGCACAGCUCCGGCUGUUGCAGCCAUCUAGGGCGUGAACCAGUAGAUGGAAGACCUCUCUCUCUGUCACUACCUCUCUCUGUAACUCUGUUUUUCAAAUAAAUAAAAUAAAUCUUUUUAAAAAAUACAUAUGCCUACAUAUAUGUAAAAAAUAAAAAAAAACUAUGUCUGGAAAGAUGCACUACACCCUUUUAGCCAUGGUUACCUAGGGAGGUAACCUAGAGAAAGAGGAAGACUUUCAUAGAUUGUUCACAUGUAUGUAUUGUUUGAAUCAUGUACAACAUGGAUAAAUGUGUUUAUUGUUUGUGUAAUAAAAAACCAGAAGCAGGUAUAUUUGGCCUAGCAAUUAAGAUACAGGCUAGGAUGCCUACAUCUCACAUUGGAGUGCCUAAGUUUAAAAUCCACCUUUGACUCCUGAUUCCAGCUUCCUUCUAAUACAGAAGGCUGGGAUAAUGGCUCAAGAAGUUGCCUUCCUACCAUCCAUGUUGGAGACCUGGACUGAGAAAUUAUUCUGGGCUUUGGCCUCAACAGAGCCCUCUAUUUGAUUGUGGACAUUUUGGGAAUGAACCAUUAGAUGAAAACUCUCUCAUUCUCUCUCUCUUUCUUUCUUUCUCUCUGUCUCUCAUUCUGUGUGUGUGUGUGUGUGUGUAUCUAAUAUUUUUAAUUGCCUAUACAUUUCAAAGUUAAAAUAACUAAUUAUCAAAAAAUUGAAUUAAAAUAGAUGCAAUUUUAUUGAAACUGACAAAAAGUAUUCAGAUAGAAGAAUUUUCCAUAAUUACAGGGCUCUCCAAGUGCCUAGCUGAAUGAAUGAUCCAAUAAAUAAAGUCUGCAAGGUUGGUUCUUGUGAAAUUUCAAAAUAACACCAAAUAAAAAGAUUCUAAAAGCUUCCAGAGGGAAAAUAAAUAACACAAUUUGGAUCUGGAUGUAGAAUGUCUUUGGACUACCUAAUGUCUUUCUGGUUCUGAAGGAUUUUUGAGACUAAAAUCUCAGUGAAACUUCUUCAGCUGUUAAGGUUGUGUGAAAACAACGACGUUGUCAGAUGUGCCAGGGCUCAUGCUUCUACCUCUCAAGCAUCUUUCCUCAGACAGCUUUGGAGGAUAUGCUUCCUAUGAAAGAGGAGUAAAGCAAAGUCAGCUAGGCAUAGGAACUGGAUGCACACUAGCAGGAAGCUGUAUCCGAAGCAUAAUAGGCAUUCUGAUAUGGGAUGUGGCUGUCCCAAGUGGUGACCUAAUGCCUGGGCCGCAUGCCUAGUUGGAUUUUUAAAAAGUCACAAUGAAAACCAAACACGAGACUUGUGCAGACAAUAAUGAAAGGUCAGGUAAGGGCAGAGUACAAGAUUUGUGUAUGAGAGUAGUGGGAGGUGACUGGGGGCAGGCUGCCAUAUACCAGGAGUGCCAGCAGCAGGAAAAGCUGCUGUUUACUGUGGGUGAAUGGAGGGGUUACGUGAUGAGAUUUUUUCCUUACAACCAUCAAUCUAGCCUUAGCAGGCAAUUUGGGUUGGAAAGGAAAGCUCCAGGAGUGGUGGAAACUAUUUGGAAGACUAGUAAUAGUCACAGAUUGAGGUCAUGGAAGUUGAAAAGGGGCACUAGCAGUGGAAUGGAAAGGAAACACAAGGAUGGAUCAUUUCAAACAUCACUGAGGAGGAAACAACAAAAUUUGCCAACUGAUUCAUUCUGUAGAAUAUGUGCUUGCAUCAUCCAUGUGAGAGCACCCAUUAAUUUCUCCAGCAAACCCCCCUUGUAGCACAGCCUGUUAUUACUGAUGGGGCUUCAGGUCGAGUCAUCCCCUUCUCUCUCCCAGCAGUAUAAUUACAUGCCAUGAAAACCUGAUGUAACAUGGUUAGCCCACAGCAUAUGGGUUAUUCCCCCACCACUAGCUUGACAUAAGACUUUUCUAAACUUGCUUGUGAUAGUUUGGA